rnacentral:lncRNA from 1 species
UAUAUCCUGUUUUGGCCAUCACUUUUCAAGAAUUGGAAAGAGUUCAGAGAAGAGAGCAACAAGAAAGCAUGAGCGCAAGGCCUGUGCACAGCCCAGUACAGCACCUGGGAAGGGAGCUGCGUGACUUUCAAAAUGGAGCCAUUAAAGGACCUGAAGGAUAAGCAGUGAUUCGUGUUGCAGAUGAAACUUUUGCUGUGACACCAUCAUUUAUCGAGGGAGAGCAAAGGACUAAACCAUCUGCU